rnacentral:lncRNA from 12 species
ACCAGAGCUUUAGAAGUAAUGAGAAGCAGGUAUGGUCUGUGGAGCAGAGAAGCUGUAGCAUAGAGCAGAAUGAGGAGAAGGAGCUGGAACACCUUGGCAGGAGGAAAUCCAGUGGAUGUCUUGAUGAACUGCUUGUGAGGUUGGCUAAGAAGCAACGAGAAGAAGCAAUUCAAGGCAAGUGGAAUGCUCAGUGCCAGCUCUCCUCUGCUUUCUAUGAGCUUGGAAUUCAGCUUUGCUUACCCAGCCUUCAUACAGAGCAAGGAAGGGAAGGAAACACCUUGGCUACUCUGUUGUUGCUCACCCAGCUGAAAGGGCCAAAACCCAUCACUGAAACAGCCUGAUUCCAAAAAUUAAAAGCAAAAUAAAGUGCCCACAUGAAUCAAAACCCU